rnacentral:lncRNA from 1 species
CUUACUUUUACUGUGUAGAAACCAAGCUUGCCCAGACAGACCUGCAGAUCUCUGAGUUCAAGGCCAGCCUGGUCCACAGCCACAGUUCCAGGACGGCCAGGGCUACACAGAGAAACCCCGUCUUGAAGCCACCCCCCUCCCAAGGAAAAGAACCCCAAACAACAACAAACCAAAAAAAGGUCCCUUCCCUCCAUUCUCUGCUAAACUCAAGUCUGUGGUCCUGAAAGUGCCUCACAGUUGUGUCUGCUUGGACUUUUUAGAAGACCCACUAUUCUCGUCUUUCCGACCCUCACUGGAAAAUGGAACUGAGCA